rnacentral:rRNA from 1 species
UACGUAGGGUGCGAGCGUUAAUCGGAAUUACUGGGCGUAAAGCGUGCGCAGGCGGUUUGUUAAGACAGAUGUGAAAUCCCCGGGCUUAACCUGGGAACUGCAUUUGUGACUGGCAAGCUAGAGUAUGGCAGAGGGGGGGUAGAAUUCCACGUGUAGCAGUGAAAUGCGUAGAGAUGUGGAGGAAUACCGAUGGCGAAGGCAGCCCCCUGGGCCAA